rnacentral:sRNA from 1 species
GCCAGGUGCAGUGGCACACCUGUAAUCCCAGAAGCUUGGGAGGCUGAGACAGGAGGAUCAGAAGUUCAAAGCCAGCCUCAUCAACUUAAGGAGGUCUUAAGCAACUUAGUGAGAACCUGUCUCUA